rnacentral:rRNA from 1 species
AUGUGAUCGUCUCUCGCAUAUCAAUAAGCGGAGGAAAAGAAACUAACAAGGAUUCCCCUAGUAACGGCGAGUGAAGCGGGAAGAGCUCAAAUUUGAAAUCUUAAAGGGUUUCCCUUUACGAAUUGUAGUUUAAAGAAGUGUUUUCUGUUGAGGUUUUGGUAAAAGUUCUUUGGAAUAGGACAUCAUAGGAGGGUGAGAAUCCCGUAUUCGACCUUUACUUUCAACUUUGUGAUACACUUUCAAAGAGUCGGAUUGUUUGGGAAUGCAGUCCAAAAUGGGUGGUAAAUUUCAUCUAAAGCUAAAUAUUGGCGAGAGACCGAUAGCGAACAAGUACCGUGAGGGAAAGAUGAAAAGAACUUUGAAAAGAGAGUUAAACAGUACGUGAAAUUGUCAAAAGGGAAGCGUUUGACACCAGUGUUGUUUUUCUGAAAAUCAAUUAAAGAACUGUUUAUGCUAAGCUGUUUAGACUUUAUCAGCUAUCUGUUUAGUUUUGAGCUUUUCUUUAAUGCACUUUUCAGUUAACAAGUCAACAUCAAUUUCUUUUGCUGUAAAAAAGCUUGAGGAAGGUGGCUUGAGAUUCGUCUUAAGUGUUUAUAGCCUCUUGCCUAUGCAGUCGGAGAGAUUGAGGUCUGCAGCGUAGAUCCUUCGGGGCUAAAAUGCAUUUGUGCUGAGUUAUAGCAUUUUAUAGACAACUUGUUGACUAUGAUUAGUCUUGUAGCUUACUCGCUUAUGUUAUUUUACCUACGCUUAGGAUGUUGAGUCAUCACACAUCUCU